rnacentral:rRNA from 1 species
GUGUCAGCAGCCGCGGUAAUACGAACUGUGCGAACGUUAUUCGGAAUCACUGGGCUUAAAGGGUGCGUAGGCGGCUGCCUAAGUCAGGUGUGAAAUCUCUCGGCUCAACCGGGAAACUGCGCUUGAUACUGGGCGGCUCGAGUGAGGUAGGGGUGUGUGGAACUUCCGGUGGAGCGGUGAAAUGUGUAGAUAUCGGAAGGAACGCCAGCAGCGAAAGCGGCACACUGGGCCUUUUCUGACGCUGAGGCACGAAAGCCAGGGGAGCGAACGGGAUUAGAAACCCCUGUAGUCC